rnacentral:ncRNA from 1 species
CUUGAUCCUCUCAGUAGACAAACAGUUGCCUUAGUGCUUAAUCCAUGCGUAUCUUAAAAUGGUUCAACCACGAAUAGCUCUUUUAAUCAGCAGUGGUUCCUUAGAUUAUGCACAUAACUUGGGUAACUGUAAAAUUCUAGCGCUAAUGCAUGUCAUUAUGCCCUUAUCUUGACGAAAAGAACGGGUAAAUUUACUAGAAAAAGACCAACCCAAAGCAGUUUCAGCUAUCCCUGUGGAAUUUUGUGAUGACUGUGGAUAUCUUCGGUGAAUGCAGUGGACCGUGUGUUGACGAUGAAUCUUCCAUAACUCCGCCCUAUCAAUUUGCUGGUUAGUUAAUCUGCCAAUCUUGAUAAUAAAGUAUGAGGCGAAUCAAAGCUCGAUUGCCUAGAGGGUGCCCGAGAAUUAGACGUCACAUCGAAGGGUGGUAGCAGGUGAAAAAAUCACCCACUUUCAGAACGCGGAGUUAGUGACUAAACAUAUGAUAACGAGACUCAACUGUAACUCCGUAAUUCCAAUGAGUACAAUUUAUAUCGCUUAACGACAACCAAUUGAAGGCUAAGCCUAGGGUGAACAGUCGCAUUAACUAAAGGUGUACA